ACGAAGAAAAAAACAAACAGCUGAAUUUUGCGUUCGAUUUUUACAAUCAAAGGAAGUAUGCAGAUAGUUCAUCCCCUGCUUGGCCUAGCCGUCCGCGAUUCGGCGCAGUUGACUCUGUCAUCAUCUACCCAGUGUCCGGAUGUUCAAUGGGUGAUAUUUUGGUGCCGGACGGUUAGCUCUUAUUUCCAGCAACGCACCUUGAAAAAACCGGCUGUUCGGUCGUAUGAGCUUCCGGGACUGUUACGCAGCUGCGGCGAAGCGUGCACCGGGACAUGGUUUUUCUUUUUAAGCUGUGUUUAACUAGGAACCGUCUGUUACGUCGUUUCGAUUUUCGGAGCAGUUGCAAUGGAAACCGGAAUGACGGCCCACAGGAAAACAAAUCUCCCGGAUGGGAAGGUAGUGUCACAGAAAUAAUAUUAGAAUAAAAAGUGAAUCGUA